rnacentral:rRNA from 1 species
AUGGCUGCGCCGGCGCCGCCGACCACAAGCUCCAAGCCGCCCCUCCCCCCGCGCCUCGCCGUGCCGCUCGCCCUCGCGCUCCUCCUCGCUCUCGCAUUCGUUGUCGACUUCCUCUCCUAUUCCUCCGCCAUCAGCCCGGCCUUCUCCCCCUCUUCCAAGACGGUAAAGGAGGGUAAUAAUAAUGACGAUACGAAGCUUCGCAAUGGAUCACCGACGGUGAGGCACCUCAACGCCACGUUCUCAGACCUGCCGGCGCCGCACUGGGACUGGGAGGAGAUGCCGCCGGCGCCCGUUCCCCGGCUUGACGGGGCGUCCGUGCAGAUCGGGGACCUCCUCUACGUCGUCGCAGGGUACGGGAGCCUCGACCAUGUCCAUUCUCAUGUGGAUGUGUACAAUUUCACUUCUAACACAUGGACUGGAAGGUUUGAUAUGCCCAAGAAGAUGUCAAAUUCACAUUUAGGGAUGGCCUCAGAUGGGAGAUAUAUCUAUGCAGUGUCUGGACAAUUUGGUCCACAGUGUCGGCCAGCUGUGAGCCGUAAUUUUGUUCUAGACACAAAGUUAAGGAAGUGGGACGAAUUACCUCCUUUACCUGUUCCUAGGUAUGCACCAGCUACUCAACUUUGGCGUGGGCGGCUUCAUGUGAUGGGUGGUGGCAAAGAAGACCGCCAUGAACCUGGAUUAGAGCACUGGAGCCUUGCUGUGAAGAAUGGCAAAGCAUUGGAGAAUGAGUGGCGAGCUGAAAUACCGAUACCACGUGGUGGACCUCAUAGGGCAUGUGUUGUUGCUAAUGACAAACUCUUUGUAAUUGGUGGUCAAGAGGGAGACUUCAUGCCUAAACCAGGGUCACCUAUUUUUAAAUGCGCAAGGAGGCAUGAGGUUGUUUAUGGUGAUGUGUAUAUGCUGGACAAUGAAGCUAAAUGGAAGCAACUGUCUCCAAUGCCAAAGCCAGAUUCCCACAUAGAAUUUGCAUGGGUCGUUGUUAAUAACUCCAUAGUAAUUGUUGGCGGAACUACCGAGAAGCACCCUAUCACCAAAAAGAUGAUUCUUGUUGGUGAAGUCUUCCGGUUUGAUUUGGAAACAUUGAAAUGGUCAGUCAUUGGUCGUAUGCCUUUCCGGAUCAAGACAGCCUUAGCUGGUUACUGGGAUGGGUGGCUCUAUUUCACUUCUGGGCAGAGGGAUAGGGGACCUGAUAAUCCAACUCCUAAGAAAGUUGUUGGUUCUAUGUGGAGAACGAAACUGCACGUCUAG